GUCAAAUGAGGAGAGCAUUUAGUGGCAUGUGACAGUGCCACUGAGCUGUGGUGAGGGACGAGAUGCCUUGAUGAC